rnacentral:rRNA from 1 species
GAUGAACGCUGGCGGCGUGCCUAAUACAUGCAAGUCGAGCGAACAGACGAGGAGCUUGCUCCUCUGACGUUAGCGGCGGACGGGUGAGUAACACGUGGAUAACCUACCUAUAAGACUGGGAUAACUUCGGGAAACCGGAGCUAAUACCGGAUAAUAUAUUGAACCGCAUGGUUCAAUAGUGAAAGACGGUUUUGCUGUCACUUAUAGAUGGAUCCGCGCCGCAUUAGCUAGUUGGUAAGGUAACGGCUUACCAAGGCAACGAUGCGUAGCCGACCUGAGAGGGUGAUCGCCAACACUGGAACUGAGACACGGUCCAGACUCCUACGGGAGGAAGCAGUAGGGAAUCUUCGGCAAUGGGCGAAAGCUGGACGGAGCAACGCCGCGUGAGUGAUGAAGGUCUUCGGAUCGUAAAACUCUGUUAUUAGGGAAGAACAAAUGUGGAAGUAACUGUGCACAUCUUGACGGUACCUAAUCAGAAAGCCACGGCUAACUACGUG